CAUUGCUUGCCUUAGGUGGUUAAUAAGAAGUUCAGGCUGUGAUCAACAGUUUCUCAUGCACCCUGCAGGGUAGUGAACACUUACAGUAAAUUUGCCAAUAGGUGUCUCACACAGAAAAUCAUGAGUCCUCUCUUGGAAGGUUCAGGUAUAGUCCAGGACCAAUAUCAGCAUUCAACUAAUUUGUUAGUGGCCAGGAGUUAGGACAGAAUUGUGGGAAAAUGGUAAAUUGCAGAGGAAAUGUAACACAGUGUGGUUUUCAUAAGAACUUCUGCUGACUUUAAAAGACAGUAGAGAUCUGUGUAGAGCAGUGUGUGCGUUUUGUGACAUCACAAAAACCCUGAUUCAACACCAGCAUACCUUCCUCUUCUUUUCACUAUGUCCUUGUAGCCUACCAGCUCCACCACUAGGGGCUUCAGUUUGAUAUCUGCAUGCUGGAGGUAGUAUAACUGAUGGUUAUCUCUCAAAGAGAAGGACGCUGUCCCUAAGAAAGCGUAUGGAUUUCUCCAGGGUGUCAUAAUCAAUUCAGCAUUUUAUGCAACACUAUACAUAUGGCCAGGAAACGAAGUGGCCUGCUGUCUCUACAAUUGCACUGCAGGCCUGUGCCAUCCCUUGAGAUCAUUCUGCAGAGAUGCCGAGGGGAUGCUCUGAAAGAGGAAAUGGGGUUCCUGGCAGACAUGAAGGUGCCAUCAUGCUCCCUGGAAGCAGCAGUCUGAUGAGGAGCUCAUCGUUUAGCUUGCUAAAAGGGGCCAUUGAAACAAAUCUGUUCAGUCAAUCUGUGUCUUUGAAUGUGACACCACUGGCUCCCUUGCGACUGAGAACUUCUGAGUAUUAUUUGUGCAUUCAUCUCCAAUGAAAAACUGUCAGAAAAGACAA